UUAAGUUCAGCGGGUAGUCCUACCUGAUUUGAGGUCAAAUGGUUCAAGUUGUCCAAAGACGGUUAGAAGCAGGGCAAACACCUUUUUACAGCAAUCCUAAGGAUCCACGGCGUAGAUAAUUAUCACACCAAUAGAUAGGUUUGCGCGGGGCACCCACUAAUUCAUUUGAGAGGAGCAGACUUUUCAGCCUGCAAAAAACC
rnacentral:misc_RNA from 1 species